rnacentral:rRNA from 1 species
UACGUAGGGUGCGAGCGUUAAUCGGAAUUACUGGGCGUAAAGCGUGCGCAGGCGGUUCGCAAAGUCUGAUGUGAAAGCCCCGGGCUCAACCUGGGAACUGCAUUGGAAACUAACGGGCUCGAGUGUGGCAGAGGGGGGGUGGAAUUCCACGUGUAGCAGUGAAAUGCGUAGAGAUGUGGAGGAACACCGAUGGCGAAGGCAGCCCCCUGGGCUAACACUGACGCUCAGGCACGAAAGCGUGGGGAGCAAACAGG